rnacentral:lncRNA from 13 species
CAAAGUCCACUUUCUGCUCUGUUAUCAUUUGUUCCUGGCUCUUGUCCUCAUACUUUGAAGAUGGCAGCAGCAUCUCCAGGUAUACAAGGAUGAAGGAGAGAGCAGCAAUGCAAUGAGGAUGAUGCCGAUGCUGCUGUUGAUGACAAUCUGAAAACCAGAAGCUCCUUGACACAAUGAAGGAACAGUCUAUCCAACCAGAGAAGUGCAUGCUCUCCAGCCCUAGGGAGGCCUGUCAGGAAGGACCGAAAAUGUUCCAGAUGUUGAAAUAACACGCAUGUCAUCUUCCUGGUGUUAUGGGCAUCCUUGUUCUGUCAACCAGGCUGGAGUAUAAUGCUGCCAUCAUAGCUUACUGCAGCCUCAAUCUCCUAGGAUCAACACACCUCAGCCUCCCAAGUAGGUGGGACACAGGCGUGAGCCACCAUAUAUGGCUAAUGUUUUUAUUCUUUUUAGAGAUGAAGAAUGCUACCCAUGCUGGUC